ACUUGUCUAGUUUAGUUGGUAGAUCACAAGACUUUUAACCUUGUGGUUGUGGGUUCAAGUCCCACGAUAGGCA
rnacentral:tRNA from 1 species